ensembl:lncRNA
CAUGGCUCUGCCAUUUCCUGGAUGAGUGAUCUUGAGAAGUCCCUGAGACUUGAGUUUCUCACCUCAGCAACAAGCCUAAUGAGAAGAACAUCCUAUCAGGGCUUUAGUUAAGGUUUGUGUUUUCAGUUGCCACCUGUCUUCUUGGAUAGAAACGACGCUGUUUCUACAAAGCUGCUGGGUUUCUCUGGGAGCAGGAGCUUCUGAACCUUGCGUGUGACUGCCGUCCUCAGUUCAGUCAAGAGAUCAGUCAGCAAGUCGCCCUUUGCUCUCCUGCGAUGGUUGCCACCUCUCGUUUUCACAAGAAAGAUAAAGCAAAUGAGUCAGCCCCUCGGACCCUUCCAGAUUGGCACGCGAUGCUCUAGCUAACCUCAGCUUAGCUGUAGCUAAAGAGAGUUCAAAAAAAGCCUUCAGAAACCCUUCUUCCAGAAAGACAGACACACAUCUGGCUUCCUUCUUUUUUUCUCUUCUGCCUCUUAUUGGCUUUCCGGAUUUUUUUAACUUUUUAAAAACACCAAAGUCUGAUUUUUAUAUAUAGUAGCCUGUGAUCUUCCCCUUUAAGGAUCCUGAUACAUCACCUCAUAUCCUGAAAGAAUAUAAGAGGCAUCUUCAGUGUGCAGUAAGAGUUUUGUGCAAUCUGAGAGAGAGAAAAGAUUGGUUCCACUAAUGGAUCACCCAACUUGUGAUGGGAUUUUGUGCUCAAACCUGGAAGAACAUUGAGCGCAGGGAGUGGUCAGGAACUGAGAGUCUCUGUAACCAGAUGCUGACAGCCCUUGUGACAAGCACCAGAGCUCGUGGUGACUGUGAGUGUCAGAGCCCAUGAAACCCACAGCCCGUCUUCCCUGGUCUGACCGUUCUGUCCAGAGAUUUUGGACUUGACACGUCCCACUACUCCAGAGGCAUCUGUGGGGAGUUUUGCAGAAUGAACGAGGAGAGAACAGUAUAAAAAAGGGGAAAUGUUUUUAACUCCUGUGGGCAUUUUCUGAGGCACGCUUUGAGGCCUGUGCUUUAACAGGAAUUCUACAACAAUCCAGACACCAAGGAUUUCUGCCAUUUUUUUUUUAAAGGGUGGAUAUUUUCAAGAAAUAGUCAGGGAUUGGGGCCAUGUAUGAGGCCGGCAGCUCAGGAAAGCAGUCCACCGCACUCCCUGCUCUGCUUUCCUCACGCCCAGUAAAUGAGGGCGCCAGGGUGGCCCCGAGGCUGGUGUGUGUGGGGCUGAGCUGGGCGCAAGCAUCUCCCUGUCAGCAUCGGGCGAUAAUCCUGAGUGGAGCCAGUAAAUGUUGUAGGUUUGCUGUCAAUCCUUGGAUCCCAGGAUCAUUCUUUGUAAUUAAAGUUCAUUCUUAAUGUAACAUGGCUGGUCUCUAAAACUAAUAUUUUAUUUAUAAAUGUGGCAGCUCCAGAGGCAGAAUAUGUCCAUGACAUCUUUCAGGAAAAGAGAUACUUUCUUAACCAUUUGAAAUAAAAAUUGAGAAUAUGGAAAUGGCAUUCCUGGCAGUUUAGUUUUAUCACUUUUGUGCCUUCAUGGGUGGGGUUCUUCUUUGUAUAAAUUUCUGCUGACUUCCCGGAGGAGGUCCUGAGCUUCCACGAGCUACUGGGAGUGGGCAGAAGAAAGUUGAGGCCCAGUGCUUUUAGGAAUCUGUGUGUUUGGAGGGACACACUUGCACAUGGUGUGUUUCCUAGGGCGGCCACAACAAAGUGCAACACAGUGAGGGGCUGGGAACAACAGCGAGGUGUUGUCUCACGGUUCCGGGGGCCGUGAGUCUGAAAGCCGGGCGCCGGCAGGCCGUGCUCCCCCUGGAGGCUCCAGGGAAGGGUCCUUUCUGGGCCUCCUCCUAGUUUCCAGCAGCUCUAGGCAUUCCUCGGCUUGUAGGUGGCCAUCAACCCCCUGUGUCUGCAUCAUGUUCCCUCUGUGC